ACAGGCCGCACGGCUUAUGAGGAAUCACACCAACUGUCGAACAGGAGACAGUCAAUUCGACCGAGAAUUUUGUUCUUUUUGUGUAUGAAGUCGUCGGGUGCAAAUCGCGAGUCAACCGCGGACGGAGUUACUUUUAGAAGAGCCGGGGAACGAUCAAGCGCCAACAACGGACAAAGUCCCGCUGAGGCAUUCAAGAGAGAAAACCCAGGAAGGCCCUCCAGAGAGGGCUUUUUCUUUUUUCCUGUUUCUGUUCUGCGGUGCGGUGUUCCGAAUUUCGGCGGCAUCAGAUUCGAACGGACUGUUCGGAUUGGGCCAGCGGAAACAAGCAAGUCGGCACGGGAAGGACUGGGGCGGUUUGAGAAUUGGUAGCUGGGAGCGGUGGCGGACUGGUGUUGCUGAACGGACGCGGCGCACCGCGAAAACCAGAUGGCAGUCAAGUGAGCUAGAUUAAGCAACGUGGGGUCGCACGGAGCGCGAAAUGCCCGGCGACAAAAGUUGAUAGGAAAUGAAAAGCAUAGGAGAUUAGAGCGGGACGGGAUGAAGAAGGAAGGAAAAUAUAUGAAGUUGUUUUGGUAGACGUAUAGGAAUCAUUUCUUCUCAAUUUGCCGCUUCUACUGUCACUUCACUAACACAACAGUUCACUUGAAAAGAUGAGAACGUAUGAGAAUGGCGAACAAACCAUAUAUUCUGUACCUACAAACACUGCAUAAUUAAAUCCAUUUCAAUUAGUUUUAUUUCCACUUAACAUUGAAUUAUGUGUAUUGUACACACGCGACACUCGAUAUACAUGAAA